rnacentral:rRNA from 1 species
UUCGCAAUGCCCGAAAGGGUGACGAAGCGACGCCGCGUGGGUGAAGAAGGCCUUCGGGUUGUAAAGCCCUGUCAGGAGUUAUGAAAUGUAGGUGCGAUAAUACCGUGCCUAUUUGACAAAGGCUCCAAAGGAAGCCACGGCUAACUCUGUGCCAGCAGCCGCGGUAAUACAGAGGUGGCAAGCGUUGUUCGGAAUUAUUGGGCGUAAAGAGCACGUAGGUGGGUUUGUAAGUCAGAUGUGAAAGCCUUCUGUCCAACGGAAGAAUUGCAUCUGAAACUGCGAGUCUUGAGUGUAGGAGGGGAGAAUGGAACUUCUGGUGGAGCGGUGAAAUGCGUAGAUAUCAGAAGGAACGCCGGCGGCGAAAGCGAUUCUCUGGCCUAUUACUGACACUGAGUGUGCGAAAGCUAGGGGAGCAAACGGGAUUAGAUACCCCGGUAGUCCUAGCCGUAAACGAUGGGCACUAAGUAGAGGGGUUUU